rnacentral:lncRNA from 1 species
CAAGGAUAAUUCUAUGCUACUAUUUUGUACUUGUUUGAUCGAAUCAGAUAAGGAUGGCUCUGAUACCAUUGUUAGAUUCUGACCAUACAGUAGAAAGUAAAUUUAAAAAUUUUAAAACUAAAUAAAUCAAUAGCUUUAACUAUCAAAACUAUUGAGUCGAACCCAAACCCUAAAAUCACCUUGUCGAAGUCGAUCGAAACAAAACAAGCAUGCAAAAGAGAUAGAAUUUUAUAUUUUUAUCAAAAUAAAAAAGUAGCAUGUUGGUAAUCUCCAUGAGACUCCAAAGUAGAAGCCCUCC